GGCUUUGUUUGCGCAGGAUAGGUGGGAGGCGUUGAAGAUUUUCCUGCGGGAAAGUCAGAGCCGUUGGUGAGAUACCACUCUAACAAUGCUAGGAUUCUAACCCUAUACCGUUAUCCGGUUAGGGGACAGUUUCAGGUGGUCAGUUUGACUGGGGCGGUCGCCUCCCAAAAGGUAACGGAGGCGUGCAAAGGUUUCCUCAGGCUGGUUGGAAAUCAGUCGUAGAGUGUAAAGGCAUAAGGAAGCUUGAUUGUGAGACCUACAGGUCGAACAAAGACGAAAGUCGGCCUUAGUGAUCCGACGGUUCCGAGUGGAAGGGCCGUCGCUCAACGGAUAAAAGUUACUCUAGGGAUAACA
rnacentral:rRNA from 1 species